UAUUAAGUGUCUAGGAGCACUGGUUUUGCUGAUAAAGCAAACUCUAUGGGGCUGACUUAUUGGUUAACUAGUCAUUGUCUAGAUGAAGAAACUGAGGCUUGGAAAGAAUAAAAACUGCCUGAAGCCACACAGAUGGUAAGUGGCAGAGCUGGUUGACUGCAGCUCCAUCUGGCUUCAAUAUCUGUACACUUCCCACCCCUGACGCUGACACUGGGUCUGUGUGACACUUGGAUAUCGGAAGGAGCUGCAGCUGGCCUGAGGCACCUCAAGGAGGGGGCGGCUGGUUUCUGUGCAGUAAGAUGCUAUGUGACUGCGCCGAACCCGCUUCUGUAAAAUGGGUCCACCAAUAACAGGAUGGGGAUACAUUCUGGGAAAUGCAUUGUUAGGUGAUUUCAUCAUUGUGUGAACACACCAUAGAGGGCACUUACACACACCUGGAUGGUAUGGCCUGCUACACACCUAGGCUAUAUUGUACAGCCUAUUGCUCCCAGGCCACAAACUUGUACAGCAUAUCAUCCACUGAAUGCUGUAGACAUUUAUAACUCAAUGGCACCAAAGAAGGCCCAGAGAGGUUUAACAGUUUCCUCAGAAUCACACAGCUUCCAAAUGGUUGGGCUGGGUUUACAUUUAGGCGGUCUUGCUCCAGAGCCAGUGCUCCUAAGCAUUGCAAGCCACGAACCUCAACAAAGUGAAGGAAACGCUGGGAAAUUUGGAAGUCAGAUAUGCCUAGUUUAUCUCCCGGGAGAUGACUUUAUUUCUAAACGUAUAGGGGUUUCUUAGAGGAGCUUCAGAAUACUAAUCAUCGCUGGUGAGGGCACUUGAACACUGUGCU
rnacentral:lncRNA from 1 species